rnacentral:rRNA from 1 species
GAUGAACGCUGGCGGCGUGCCUAAUACAUGCAAGUCGAGCGAACAGACGAGGAGCUUGCUCCUCUGACGUUAGCGGCGGACGGGUGAGUAACACGUGGAUAACCUACCUAUAAGACUGGGAUAACUACGGGAAACCGGAGCUAAUACCGGAUAAUAUAUUGAACCGCAUGGUUCAAUAGUGAAAGACGGUUUUGCUGUCACUUAUAGAUGGAUUCGCGCCGCAUUAGCUAGUUGGUAAGGUAACGGCUUACCAAGGCAACGAUGCGUAGCCGACCUGAGAGGGUGAUCUGCCACACUGGAACUGAGACACGGUCCAGACUCCUACGGGAGGCAGCAGUAGGGAAUCUUCCGCAAUGGGCGAAAGCCUGACGGAGCAACGCCGCGUGAGUGAUGAAGGUCUUCGGAUCGUAAAACUCUGUUAUUAGGGAAGAACAAAUGUGUAAGUAACUAUGCACGUCUUGACGGUACCUAAUCAGAAGGCCACGGCUAACUACGUG